rnacentral:rRNA from 1 species
UACAGAGGGGGAGCAAGCGUUAUUCGGAAUUAUUUGGGCGUAAAGGGCGCGUAGGCGGCUUUUCAAGUGACGGGUGAAAAUCCCUCGGCUUAACCGAGGAACUGCCUGUCAGACUGGAAGGCUUGAGACCGGGAGAGGUGAGUGGAAUUCCCAGUGUAGCGGUGAAAUGCGUAGAUAUUGGGAGGAACACCAGUGGCGAAGGCGGACUCACUGGACCGGUACUGACGCUGAGGCGCGAAAGCGUGGGGAGCAAACAGGG